rnacentral:sRNA from 1 species
GCAGCGCCACUCGCCAGGUGGACCCGGAGUCCGCGAGCGUCGUCGGCAAGUGGCUGCCUUUACCCGGUACCCCGAGCACCAUGUCGUCCCCGGCGUCGACCCCGAGCCGCCGCGGCAGCCGGCGUGGAAGGGCCACCCCUGCCCAGACGCGUGAGUCCCCCGAGCCGGGCCCACUACAGCCCCCUGCGCCGCCCCGUCUGCCCUCUCUUGCCAGAGCUGGCAGCGCUGGGUGGGUGCGCGGACCCCGGGCGCUCAGCCUCGCGCUGCCGCCUGGUGCGCACAGACACCCACAGCAGGCUGUGGCCUGGGUGCUGCUUAAUUCGAUUGCCCAUUUGCCUCUGUUUGGUUUGGUUCAGUGGUGAGUCAUAAUGCCCCAAGGGACAGACAAAUCCAGGAAGGCCGGCCCUGAAAGUUAAUGGCUGUCUUUUUUGUUUUGUGUGACACAAGCUCGAAGUGAGGAUGCCAGGUCAUCUCCCUCUCAGAGACGUAGAGGCGAGGAUUCCACCUCCACGGGGGAG